rnacentral:rRNA from 1 species
UACGGAGGGUGCAAACGUUGCUCGGAAUCAUUGGGCGUAAAGCGCACGUAGGCGGACUGCUAAGUCGGACGUGAAAUCCCUCGGCUUAACCGAGGAAGUGCAUUCGAAACUGGCAGUCUUGAGUACGGGAGAGGGUCGCGGAAUUCCCGGUGUAGAGGUGAAAUUCGUAGAUAUCGGGAGGGAACACCAGUGGCGAAGGCGGGCGGCCUGGACCGAUACUGACGCUGAGGUGCGAAAGCGUGGGGAGCAAACAGG